rnacentral:misc_RNA from 1 species
AAUUCUCAACCCUUGCUCCUUUGUUGGAGUUCAAGGGAUUGGACUUGGGGGUCUUUGGCGGUCCUUAGCAGAUCGCCUCCCCUUAAAUGCAGUUGUGCGACUCGUUGUUUCGUAACCUUCGGUGUGAUAAUUAUCUACGUCGUCGGUCUGUCGUUACUGUCAAGAGACGUGCUUUCUAACCGUCCCUCGGGACAACAUCAUGAA